AUGAGAUCAUGCCCUUCGGGGUAGACCUCCCACCCUUUGUUUACAAUACCUUUGUUGCUUUGGCGGCCCCGUCGCAAGACAACCGGCUCCGGCUGGUCAGCGGCCGCCAGAGGACUCAAAACUCUUAUUAUUAUUGUCGUCUGAGUACUAUAUAAUAGUUA
rnacentral:misc_RNA from 1 species